GGUCUUUAAAUCUUUACCCCCGGAGCCUAUAUUUCUUGUGCUCGCGCAAGCGGGCUAUGGCGAUAAAUGACGCGUGCAAUAACCGUAUCGGACCCGGGGGCGGUACCCGGCGGCUCCACCAAAACCCCUCUCCCGAAAAGCUUUGGGGGGAGGCUUCGGCGGGGCCGAAAUAGGAUCGACGAGCGUCUAAAGACGAUGUUUUCGCCCGGUUUGCCUCCGUUAUUUGGCUACAACUGAAUAGUUGCCAACGACAACUACUCGGAAGAACUCGCUCUCGCUGCGUAACGCGGCUGAGCAGUUCGCUUUUUAAAGCCCUAGCCCCUUUCCAAGGCUAGGCGGGGCCCCCCGGCGCCUGGCAACAGAAGCCGGGGACU
rnacentral:tmRNA from 1 species